UACGUAGGGGGCUAGCGUUGUCCGGAUUUAUUGGGCGUAAAGAGCGUGUAGGCGGCCAGACAGGUCCGUUGUGAAAACUCGAGGCUCAACCUCGAGACGUCGAUGGAAACCGUCUGGCUAGAGUCCGGAAGAGGAGAGUGGAAUUCCUGGUGUAGCGGUGAAAUGCGCAGAUAUCAGGAAGAACACCCGUGGCGAAGGCGGCUCCCUGGGACGGUACUGACGCUGAGACGCGAAAGCGUGGGGAGCGAACAGG
rnacentral:rRNA from 1 species